rnacentral:rRNA from 1 species
UGCGUAGGCGGGGCAAUUAGUCAGUGGUGAAAUCCUGCGGCUUAACCGUAGAAUUGCCAUUGAUACUGUUGUCCUUGAGUAUAGUUGAAGUGGGCGGAAUAUGUAAUGUAGCGGUGAAAUGCAUAGAGAUUACAUAGAACACCAAUUGCGAAGGCAGCUCACUAAGCUAUCACUGACGCUGAGGCACGAAAGCGUGGGGAGCGAACAGGAUUAGAUACCCUGGUAGUCC